GCGCUGAUUUGUUUCCCAGGGAAACUGCCUUACCAGAUGUAGAUGCAGCUACAAGUCUGCUUCCUCUGGAGAUGCUCCCUAAGCUCUUCUUCCAGCUCUCAUUGCUCAGGCCUCCCCUGGAGAUCUCCCUAGAGCUUUCAUCAAAAUCAUUUCCAUCCCAUUGCUUAUCCCCAGAAGGAUUGAAAAAGUGUCUUCAGGUGGCAGGCACGUGGUUGUAAGACUCCUUCAUCCAUGGUCAGCAAAUAAAUGCAAUUAAGGAAGGACA
rnacentral:lncRNA from 1 species